rnacentral:rRNA from 1 species
CUCUUUUUGANNNUAAUNUAAAGUUGGGCCUGCCCACUGAUAAUUUAAAGGGCCGCAGUAUUUUGACUGUGCAAAGGUAGCAUAAUCAUUAGUUUUUUAAUUGAAAGCUUGUAUGAAUGGUUUGAUGAGAAAAUUACUGUUUCAAUUUAAAUUUUAAUAAUUUUAUUUUUAAGUUAAAAAGCUUAAAUAAUAUUUAAAGACGAGAAGACCCUAUAGAGUUUUACUAAUAUUAAAAUUUUUAUAUGAGGGAUUUGUUUAUAAAAAUUUUGAUAAAGUUUAGUUGGGGUGACAAAAAAAUUUGAUUAACUUUUUUUUUAUUUAUACAUUAGUUAGUGGUAUUUUGGUCCAUAAAAAUGAUUAUAAGAUUAAAUUACCUUAGGGAUAACAGCGUGAUUUUCUUUGAUAGUACCUAUUGAAAAGAGAGAUUGCGACCUCGAUGUUGGAUUAAAAUAAAUUUUUGGCGGAGAAGCUAGGAAAUUAGGUCUGUUCGACCUUUAAAAUUUUACAUGAUCUGAGUUUAAACCGGUGUGAGCCAGGUUGGUUUCUAUCUUAAAUUUAGUUAAUAUUUUAGUACGAAAGGAUCAAUUAUUAUAUUAAAAAUAAAUUUGUAAGAAUUUUAUUUUGGCAGAUUAGUGCGAUGGAUUUAGAAUCUUUAGAUGUGUAUUAUACAAAUAAAAAUUGACUUUAUUUUAGUUUUAUUAAAUUUUUUGAUUAUAGUNNUNNGNNUNUUNGU